UUAACUAUUUAAUAGUACUCAGACGACACUAAUAUUCAGAGUUUGAUAUCCUCUGGCGGGCACGCCGGACGCGAAUCCAGGCAAGCCAGGCUUGCGGCCCGCCAAAGCAACAUUUGAUAAUGAUACACAAGGGUGGGAGAUCUACCCCGAAGGGCAUGAACUCUGUAAUGAUCCUUCCGCAGGUUCACCUACGGAAA
rnacentral:misc_RNA from 1 species